rnacentral:lncRNA from 1 species
GAAAUACCACAAUCAAGAUGCAUGAUUGAAUGAAGAAUUUACCUUAGUGAUCGUUGAUUGACGUAUGAGCCUUCAGAGCAUAUCUUGGAAUUUAGAUAGCCACCAUCACAACUAAUUUACCAUCUAACUUAGUCUAAUUUGUCUCUAGGAAAUUCCAAUCACAUAAUCAAUACUAACAGAGUCCAACUCAUUGAAGGAAGCCCAGUCCAACAGUCAAUCCACA